UAACACAUGCAAGUCGAACGAACCCUUCGGGGUGAGUGGCGCACGGGUGCGUAACGCGUGGGAACCUGCCUUUAGGUUCGGAAUAACAGUUAGAAAUGACUGCUAAUACCGGAUAAUGUCUUCGGACCAAAGAUUUAUCGCCUUUAGAUGGGCCCGCGUUAGAUUAGAUAGUUGGUGGGGUAAUGGCCUACCAAGUCGACGAUCUAUAGCUGGUCUGAGAGGAUGAUCAGCCACACUGGGACUGAGACACGGCCAGACUCCUACGGGAGGCAGCAGUGGGGAAUAUUGGACAAUGGGCGAAAGCCUGAUCCAGCAAUGCCGCGUGAGUGAUGAAGGCCUUAGGGUUGUAAAGCUCUUUUACCAGGGAUGAUAAUGACAGUACCUGGAGAAUAAGCUCCGGCUAACUCCGUGCCAGCAGCCGCGGUAAUACGGAGGGAGCUAGCGUUGUUCGGAAUUACUGGGCGUAAAGCGCACGUAGGCGGCUUUUCAAGUCAGGGGUGAAAUCCCGGGGCUCAACCCCGGAACUGCCCUUGAAACUGGAUGGCUAGAAUACUGGAGAGGUGAGUGGAAUUCCGAGUGUAGAGGUGAAAUUCGUAGAUAUUCGGAAGAACACCAGUGGCGAAGGCGACUCACUGGACAGUUAUUGACGCUGAGGUGCG
rnacentral:rRNA from 1 species